rnacentral:tRNA from 1 species
GGGGCCAUAGCUCAGUUGGUAGAGCGCGUCGUUCGUAAUGACGAGGUCAGGGGUUCAACUCCCCUCGGCACCACCA